GACAGGGGGGGCAAGCGUUGCUCGGAAUUACUGGGCGUAAAGGGCGCGUAGGCGGGAUGGCAAGUCGGUCGUGAAAUCCCUCGGCUCAACCGAGGAACGUCGAUCGAUACUGCUGUUCUUGAGGAUUGCAGAGGAGACUGGAAUUCCCGGUGUAGCGGUGAAAUGUGUAGAGAUCAGGAGGAACACCGGUGGCGAAGGCGGGUCUCUGGGCAAUUCCUGACGCUGAGGCGCGAAAGCGUGGGGAGCAAACGGG
rnacentral:rRNA from 1 species